rnacentral:lncRNA from 1 species
CUCUCUCUCUCUUGCUUGCUGCCAUGCAAGAUGUGACUUUGCUCUUCAUUCACCUUCUGCCAUGAUUGUGAGGGCUCCCCAGCCAUGUAGAACUAAAUUGUGGAGCCACCAUCUCUAAACAUCCUGCCUAACAGGACUUCUAGAAGUUCGCCAAAGGUCUCCUCAACCCCAGUUCAGUGAUAUAAUUUUGGUUUCUGAAGAGUGUUGACAUUUAUGGAUCGUCUGGUUGGAGAACUAAAGAAAUUUCUGGCAAGUGGAUACCACAUUGACAAGGUGCUCAUCAGCUGGUACAAUGGACCUUUAUCUCAGAGUUUAAAUUUAUUUGCAAGUGAUCUGAAAAGUCCAAGGCAGGGUCUCACUCUGUCACCCAGGCUGGAGUACAGUGGCAUGAUUAUAGCUCACUGCAACCUCAGACUCCUGGAUUCAAGUGGUCUUCCUGCGUCAGACUCCUGAGCAGCUAGGACUACAGGUUAAGAUGCAAGACUGGCUAGAAGGAUAAGCAGUGGGAACAACGGCACAGGAGAUGUCCUUAUGGGUCCCCAACACUUUCUCUUUUGCCCUUUGGCAGGUGCUAGUGACAGACAUGGGGCUUCACCAUGUUGCCCAGGGCUGUUCUCGACCUCCUGGAUUCAAGCAAUCCUUCCACCUCGGCCUCCCAAAGUGCUGGGAUUACAGGCAUGAGCCACCUCGCCACUGGCUGGACUCCUCCGAUUGACUUCUAUUCACCAGAAUGUUGAUGGCUCUGGUUCUCACCCUGUUGUUGUUUGCAUGGGAAUAUUCCCUAGAAAAGAGAUAAGGCCUCUCUCCUGCCUUUCUUCCACCCAGAUUAAGACUGUGAGAUGAAGACAGAAACAGCAUCCGCUGAGGCACCUUCUCUUGUGAGUUCUCUGCUGCCAACAGACCUGGGGUGGGCACAGCGCGGGAGGCAGGUGAUAAGGGGAAGUGAAAGCAUCAUUACAGCCGAGAGGCCUUAAAAUGGUACAGAAGCCUGGCCUGACGCUGUGAGUCCAAACCUCUGGCUUUACAGGGUUUCUCUGAAAUCUGGUCUGAGAGUUUAACUUCUUCCUUUCUGGUUGGACCCUUGAAGGUAGCAUGAUAUAAGUAGCACACCAAAGUGUCAAGAUUGGGAUGAAAGCACAUCUUCCUUAGAAUAACUUUCUUAAGCACUAUUUUAGGUCUCUGUGUCUUAAACCAUGGGCUUCUUAGACUUUUGGACGCUAUAUGUAAGUUGUGACUCUUGAGGUUAUAUUUGUUUCCUGGGGCUGCCAUGACAAAGCACCACAAAGCCAGUGGCUUAAAGAACAGGGAUCCUCUCCAAGCUCCAGAGGCCAGAAACCAGACAUCAGCUACACUCCCUCUGAACCUCGUAGAGAGAAUCUUCCCUUGCCUCUUCUUAGCUGUUGGUGUCAGCCGACAAUCCUUGGGUGUUCCUUGGCUUGUAGACACAUCACUCCAAUCUGCCUCCAUCAUCACAGAGCUGUUUCCCUGUGUCUGAUAUGAACACCAGGCCCAUUUCCCUGGGUCUCUUAUACAGAUACCAGUCAUGUUGGAUUUGGGGCCCACCCUACUCCAGUAUGACUUUAUCCCAAUUUACCUAAUUAUUUUGUGUUUCGUUUUGUUUGUUUGUUUUGAGACAAGGUCUUGCUCUGUUGCCCAGGAUGGAGUGCAGUGGCGUGAUCACAGCUCACUGCAGCCUCAACCUCACAGGCUCAAGUGAUCCUCCUGACUCAGCCUCCAAAGUAGCUGAGAUUACAGGCGCAUGCCAUGAUGCCCAGCUAAUUUUUGUACUACUUUUUGGUAGAGAUGAGGUCUCCCUAUGUUGCCCAGGCCGAUCUCGAACUCCUGGGCUCAAGUGACCCACCCACCUUGGCUUCCCAAAGUGCCAGGCUUAAAGGCGUGAGCUACCCUGCCCAGCCUACUUUACCUAGUUACAUCUGUAAUGACACUGUUUCAAAAUAAGUUCACAUUCUGAGGUACUGGGGAUUAAGACUUCAGCAUAUUUUUGGGGGGAACAAUUUAACACGUAACAAGAAAGAAUACAGAAUCCAAGAUUUCCUAGACAUAUGUGUCCAGAGGACUUUUUUUUUAAGUUGAGGGUCUCCCUCUGUUGCCCCAGCUGGAGUGCAGUGGCCCCAUCACGGCUCACUGCAGCCUCAACUUCCUGGGCUCAAGCAAUCCUCCCACCUCAGCCUCCAAAGUAGCUGCAACUACAGACACACACCUCUACGCCUGGCUAAUUUUUUAUUUUUUUUUAUUUUUUGGAGAAAUGGAGUCUGGCUAUGUUGCCCAGGCUAGUCUCAAACUCCUGGGCUCCUCCUGCCUCAGCCUCCUAAAGCGCUGGGAUUACAGGCAUGAGCCAUGGCACCAGGCCCAGAGAUCGAAGAUCAAAGAGAAUGGUGUGGAACUACAGACCUGUGGAAGCUAUUGGUAGAAGGAUGCCCUUGGCUCUCCGAAAUGCUUGCUCAUAGACUUCUCCAGCUCACCUUAAAUAUUACUGUCAACAUCACUGUCUUGUCGUUCAGGCUGUGACACCUUUAUUCUUCCAUUUCAAUUUCCUAGAGGGCCAUGGAGCUUGCCACCCACGAGAGGAACUCCUCCCUUUUGAGUGAGGUUGCACAAUUGGCCUGUUCCUUCCAAGCUCAUGAACUUGCUCUCUCAAACGGAAACUGGGACCCUCUCUAAGUGUGUGCCUGCCAGCUUGUGGUGGAGUCUGUUUUUUUUUUGUUUUUUUAAACAAGAGAGAAUAUUUUGCUUCUGCCAAGAUUGACAUGGCUUCAAAAGUGCAAACCAUCUCACUGCAGCUGCUCUGCACCCUCCUGGACCCUCUAGUUAUGCUCUGGUCUUUCCUCUGGUCUUUUUGAGACUGGCCUAUGCACUGUUUCACCUGUUCUGUCCCUACUACUUCUUGAGGUGUCUUUGACUCCGCUGACUACUGUAGGACACCACACUCCCUUUGUCCUUGCAGCCUACUCUUUUGUUGUUGUUGUUGUUGUUGAGAUGGAGUCUCGCUCUGUCGCCAGACUGGAGUGCAGUGGUGCAAUCUCUGCUCACUGCAACCUCUGCUUCCUGGGUUCAAGCAAUUCCCCUUCCUUAGCCUCCCGAGUAGCUAGGACUAUAGGCGCGUGCCACUACGCCCAGCUAAUUUUUGAAUUUUCAGUAGAGACGGGGUUUCACCAUGUUGGCCAGGAUGGUCUUGAUCUCUUGACCUCGUGAUCCGCCUGCCUCGGCCUCCCAAAGUGCUGGGAUUACAGGCGUGAGCCACUGCACCCGGCCACAGCCUACUCUUAGUUCCUUCUUAAGUCAUCUUUUCCUGGCCUUGGUUACAUAAUGCAACUUGUACACGCCAGUGUGCCUUCCCAAUCAAGACCAGUGUCUUUCAACCUUUUGUUACUAAGAUCUACAAUAAGAAGUUUGCUUUUAUUUUAUUAUUAUUAUUUUUUUGAGAUGGAGUCUCCCUCUGUUGCCCAGGCUGGAGUGCAGUGGUUGAUCUUGGCUCACUGCAACCUCCAUCUCCCAGGUUCAAGGGAUUCUUCUGCCUCAGCCUCCCGAGUAGCUGGGACUAUAGGCACACCACCAAGCCUGGCUAAUUUUUGUACUUUUAGUAGAGAUGAGGUUUCUCCAUGUUGGCCAGGCUGGACUUGAACUCCUGACCUCAGAUGAUCCACUCGCCUCAGCCUCCCAGAGUGCUGGGAUUACAGGCAUGAGCCACUGUGCCCCACCAAGAAGUUUGCUUUUAAUCCUGAAGCAAUGCACAUAGCCAAGAACAUUUUUCACUACAGUAAGAAUCAUGAAAUAGCUUUUACUGUUACAGAAUGCCAUGCACUCAAUUUUCUUUUAUAGUCUAGUCCAGCCUAUGCUAUUUCAUUAAUAAAUGUUUAAGGUCAUAAACCAUUGUAUUUUAUUUCACUACCCAUGACUGGGCUGCAACUUGCCUUUUGAGAAACAGUGUAGAUGUAGGCAGGAAUUUCUUGAAUAAUCUUCCUGCCUCUACUCUUCUCUCUAAUUUAUUUGUCCCAGUAGCAAGAGUGAUCUUUUGCAAACCUAAAUUAGAUCAGGUCUCUCCAGUACUUAAACCCUUCAGAGUCUUUCAUUCACUUAGCAUAAAACCCAAACUCUUUAUCAUAGCCCACAAGCUCCUAUCUAGAAAGGCCCUUUUCCAACUUCAUUUUCUACUGCACUCAACCUGAACCACCCCACUCCAGCCUCAGCGGCCUUCUCUGUUCUGCCAAUGCCUGCUAAUCUUGACCAUUGACUCUGAUGCUUUUUGUCAUUCAGUUCUCAGUCCCAAAGUUGUCUCCUCAGAAAGGCCUUUCCUGAUCACCCUAGCUAUGUCAUAUCACUGUUUAUCAAUUUACCCCUUUUCUGUUCCUCUUAGUACUUACUAGCUCCUGAAAGUAUUUACUGGUUUGCUUGCUUGUUUGCUUUCCAGCUGUCCCACUAGGAUAUAACCUCCGCCGGAGGGGACUGUCCUAGACUCUGAGGGGAAGAUUAUCAACUGCACAGGACUUUAUCAGGGAGAAUUCUUGGGGUCAACACUGCAGGAGGCAGACGAAGAAGCAGGACUGGGCAGAGGGAGACAUUGGGCUGUGAUGUCAUCACCACAGAUGCCACAGCUCAGCCUACAGGGAGUUCUGAAGAUAGGAUCACCCUUCAGAACUGUCUAGAUUUGGCUAGAGAGCCAGACCUUUGGAUCCCUUGGUGACCAAUAAUUGGAUGUAGAAAGAGGGAGUGAUGCUGAACAAGACCCAGUGUGUCUUCAAAUAGGUAAGACCUAGCAGGGAUGACAGCUGGACUAGUGAGUGGUGGCUGCACUCCCUGGCUGGAGAUGGAGACCCCAUCACACCAUCAGCCAUGAGUUCCAAACCAGCCUUUUCACAACCAUCACCCCAGCAAGGCGGACAGUACCAGUGCUCAGUAGUUGCCUCUGUUUUGGUGGCUAUUGUUCUCCUGAAACUGCCUUUGCAAAGAUUAUGACAGCGAGAUAAUCUAGCCUGGCUGUGUCCACCUUACUUCUAGCCUCACAGGCUGGCUGUCCUCAUUCAUUCCUGGGUGUGGGCCAAGCUAACCUUGGGAAGCAUUUAAUUUAUAGUUUAACUUUGAAGCAAGGAUGAUAAUAGUCCCUCCCUAAAACUGACACCUUCCUUCUUCAGGGGCUUAAACCCUGACUAAUGAAAGGCCACAAGAUUAGGAUUAUGAGAGGGGCCUGCAUUCUGCUAAAAUGUAGGCAUAGUUUCUAUAAUUUCUUACUGCUCAGGAGUCAUAUGGCCAGAGGUCACAGAAUUUGUGACUUCCUCAAUUGCUCUUAGAGAUAAUAUCACUAUUGUAGAAUCUAAGAUUGGUCUUUUGAGAUGUUUUUAAAAUUUUUGCAUUCUGGCAACUCACCAACCCCAUCCAGACCCAUGACUCAUGUCUCAGCCAGUCCUGUGGCCCCACCAAGAGGCAGACUCAGCAUGCGAGGACCAUUUCCCACACCCAUAUGAUUUUACCCCCAGCUAAUCAGCAGCACCCAUUUCCUAGCCCCCUGCCUGCCUGCCAAAUUAUUCAUAAAAACCCUAGCUUCCGAGUUCUUGGGAAGGAUGUUGUGGGUAAUAAACUCUAUCUUCUGCGUGGCUAACCUCAUGUUAAUUUAACUCUUUCUUUACUGCCAUACUGCCAUCUCAGUGAAUUGGUUUUCUCGGUGCAGUGGGCAGGAAGAACCUGUUGGGCAAUUACACUCUGACCUCCCCUCUCCCUUCAGCUUCCUACUUAGUUUCCCAUUACCAACCUCAAAGUCACUCUGCUUGGAUAACUUGAUUCUCUCCUGAUGUCUACAUCUUCCCUUGAAUGGGAUCCCAUUCCCCUACUACUCACCAACUCCUAAAAUCAAGAUCAGACUCUCCCACCACCUUCUUUGGGCCACAUUCUAGGAUUCCUUGCCCCUUACCCAAAGGCCAAUAGCUCUUCAUUCUCAACAGCCACAGGAGGCCCUCAACCACCCAGUUCCUUGUGCUGCCAGAAGGUGUUGUUGUUGCUCUAAGGGCAAAAGUUGUAUAGAGCAUUUUGAUAAAAAUCCAAGUGGCUACUUGAGAUUUGCUUUCCUUAACAUCUCAUUGCCUAUAAUGUUCAAUAAUGAUACUGUGCUUUGGUAAUAUGAUGAUGACAUUUUUGAAGAUAGAGCCAUAUUUUCACAGUCCGUCCAUGCUGGGCAGGUCCCUUCUGACAUUUGUAAUACUGAAGUAAAAUGAAUAACAGGAAUGGGCAAGAAGGGGCUGGCCUCUUAUUUUAUAGGCAAGGAACAUCACUAUUGGCCCAGCACUACUUUUGAGUUUUUUGGGGGGAAGGUGGUAAUAAAGAUAUAAAAGAUAUAAAAGAGCUAAGAAAAAUGGGCCUUGUUUUUAAGAAAUGUGCAAUCUGGUUGAUAACUCUUUCUUUUUAUAUAUAAUAAUAACAUUGCUUUCAUAAAACUUGUUCUAUGCACUUUACACAUAUUAAUUCAGUUACAUCUUAUGGGCUGGGUACUGUGAUUGUUCCAUUUUACAGAGGAGAAAACUGAGGCACAAAGGAGUUAAGUAACCUGCUUAAGUUCACACCACUGGCACGUGGCAAAUUCAGGACUGAAACACAGGCAGCUUGACCCAGACCAUGCACUACAUUACAUGAUAUUAUGUUUCUUCACUAAUGACUCUAGACCCUUGAACACCAGUAAGGGAGUUUUAAUAUAUUAAAUAAUAUAUAUUUUUAACUUUUAAAAUUUAUAGAAAUAUUAUGUAUUGAUUUUUGAAAAUAUGAAAAGUGUUGAACAAUAUAAAUAGGAAAAUUGAAAAUCAAGUAUGACUCAGAGAUCACCAGUAUUAAUAUUUUGAUCCAUGCCCUAAGUUGUUCUAUGCACAUUUCUAAUACUCAUAUAGUCCUUUAAAAUUUAAUAUUGUAUUAUAGGUUUUAUAUAAAAUUUUGAAAUGUAAAGUUUUAUGGCUAAUGUUAUUUUCAAUUUACUUUUAUAAUUUCCCAUUUAUUUCUUCAUAUUAUUAAAUAUUUCACAAAACAGUAUUU